rnacentral:rRNA from 1 species
GCAGCCGCGGUAAUACGGAGGGUGCAAGCGUUAAUCGGAAUUACUGGGCGUAAAGCGCACGCAGGCGGUUGGAUAAGUUAGAUGUGAAAGCCCCGGGCUCAACCUGGGAAUUGCAUUUAAAACUGUCCAGCUAGAGUCUUUUAGAGGGGGGUAGAAUUCCAGGUGUACCGGUGAAAUGCGUAGAGAUCUGGAGGAAUACCCGUGGCGAAGGCGGCCCCCUGGACAAAGACCGACGCUCAGGUGCGAAAGCGUGGGGAGCAAACAGGAUAAGAUACCCUGGUAGUCCACGCCGUAAACGAUGUCGAUUUGGAGGCUGUGUCCUUGAGACGUGGCUUCCGGAGCUAACGCGUUAAAUCGACCGCCUGGGGAGUACGGCCGCAAGGUUAAAACUCAAAUGAAUUGACGGGGGCCCGCACAAGCGGUGGAGCAUGUGGUUUAAUUCGAUGCAACGCGAAGAACCUUACCUGGCCUUGACAUGUCUGGAAUCCUGCAGAGAUGCGGGAGUGCCUUCGGGAAUCAGAACACAGGUGCUGCAU